GCCUGGUUGGCUCAGCCGUUGAGCUUCUGCCUUCAGCUCGGGACAUGGUCCUGAGAUGCGGGAUCAAAUCCUGCAUUGGGCU
rnacentral:tRNA from 1 species